rnacentral:rRNA from 1 species
AUGACUGGGAAGACCCCUCAUGAUGUAAGGACAAAAAAUAAUCAUGCACUACAGCACAACAUCAGGCCUCGCCCAUUGUCUGAUAAAGAUUUUAUGGUGGUGAGGAGAGUAUCUAUUGAGCACCAUGACCAACAUGUUCAGUCCCUUGAGAAGGCAGAGACACCUAUUACAUAUCAAUGGAGACUGGUCCUCUAUAAUUAUUUAAAUGAUGUUGUUUCUGCUCAAACGGUGAAGUCUAAAGAGCUACGGCGGGGUAAUGUACUGAAACAGAAUGCCAUAGCUGGGUCCUCCUCCGCUCAUCCGCUAUCACCGGAUAAUGAUAUCUCAGACACUGCCCCAUCCGAUAGCGGAAAGAGACGCAGACAAUCUACACCGCCUCAUGUGGAACAAGAAGAAAGGCUGCCCUUGAAGCGCAAACUUGAUUUCGGCCAAGAAUCCAAUUUUUCUGAACCAAUAACAUUGGAUGGUCCGUCGUUAGAUGUUGAACUCAGUAACUUUGUUAGUGAUGAAGAUUUUGGUCACGUUCUCACGGGAGAAAAGGACCAUGGCCUUGGUGACCUCUUCGAUUUAUCCGUCGAGGAUUAUACCAUUGGCGAGUGUGGCGCAAGUCGUCCACCUUCCAGCCCGAGUGUGACUGAAGUUGUGCCUCAUACCCCUAAUGCUCUUGGUUUCUUGUCAACUUUACCUGGUUGCGAACAAGAAAUUCGCCACUCACAAGACCCUAAGGUGAUGGUAAUAUCGGGAAAAGACGCACAGAUGGACUGCAGUUUCGUCAAGGACACGUUUAUGGAGGCUACAGAUUUUGUGGUAAAACGAGCCCUCGAAGGACUGAACGACUCUACCCUCGGUGAUCCCAAGCGAUGCAUCAUGCUUGAGAGCGUUUCUCAGACGCUGCCCACGCAAGUACCUGAGGUAGCUAAGGUGCAGGCCAUGUUGGUCGGGCUUAUUGACCUUUCCAAGAAGUUGGAGGUUGGCCAGACUAAGUUCACGGAGGAAUCCGAGCGAGAUGAGCAUGUUGUUGCUGAAGUAGGACUUAACAUUAAGUCUGGCCAUGAGGUUUCCAAGGUCAUAAUUGAGGACUUAUCUGCCGUAGAAAAGAAGUGCACUGAAAUGGAGGCACGUGAAGAAGAGUUGAAGGCCCAGCUUGAAGAGGUUACUGCUACUUUGCACAGGCUUAAGUUGGGAAUGGAACAAUGCCGACAAGCACAUGAUGCCCAUCAAUCUGAACAGGAGAAGUUGGUGAAGAGUGUACAGGAUACCAAUGCUGUCAAACGUGCAAGGCUUGCUGAAUUUAAACAAAAGACAGCAGAUUUAAAGACUGAAGCAAGUCAGUUGUUGAACAGCCUGCAGAACUGGUGA